UUAAGUGUGAUCCAGGAGAAGGCUAGAGCGCUGCAUGAGGCAGUAGUGAAAAAGUUUGGCGAAGGCAGUGCUGGUGGUGAAUUUUCCGCGAGUAGAGGUUGGUUUAACCGUUUUAAGGCUCGUGCAAAUUUGCAUAAUGUGAAGCUGCAAGGUGAAGCUGCUAGUGCUGAUAGCGAAGCAGCAGGUAGUUUUCCAGGUGGUUUGGCCGAGAUAAUUAAGGAUGGUGGUUACACGGCUGACCAAGUCUUUAAUGUGGAUGAGACUGGUUUAUUUUGGAAAAGAAUGCCAAAUCGAACGUACCUUUCCAAGGAGGAGAAGUCAGCACCUGGCCAUAAAGCUGGAAAGGAGCGACUGACUUUGCUGUUUGGGGCCAAUGCAAGUGGCGAUUUGAAACUGAAGCCCUUGCUGGUGUAUUUGGCCGAGAAUCCCAGGGCUUUCAAGGGCAUUUUCAAGAGUCAACUCCCUGUGAUUUGGAAAUCAAAUAAGAAGGCUUGGGUUACCUUGAUGGUCUUCGAAGGUUGGUUCAAUGACCAUUUCGUGCCAGCAGUGGAACGGUAUUUGACUUCGAAGGGUCUGCCUUUUAAGGCCCUCUUAGUCCUGGACAAUGCCCCUGGUCACCCUUCAAAUUUGAGCGACAUGCACCCUAAUGUGAGGUUGGUGUACCUCCCACCCAAUACCACAUCGCUGAUACAGCCAAUGGACCAGGGAGUAAUAGCUAAUUUCAAAGCUUACUACCUUAGAAGGACCAUACGUUUUGCUUUGAGGGCCAUAGAAGCUAACAAGGAGUUGACACUGAAGCAAUUCUGGAAGGGCUAAAACAUUGCUGAUGCAGUGAAGAAUAUUGCAAGUGCUUGGGACGAGGUGAAGACGACCACUUUAAAUGGGGCCUGGAAGAAACUGUGUCCACAGUUUGUGCACAGUUUUGAAGGCUUUGACCAGGCAGAAGACGUCGAGACUGUGACGAGGAAGAUCGUAGGGCUAAGCAAGAGGCUGAAACUAGAUCUUGAACCUGAUGAUGUAAAAGAGCUGCUGGCAUCCCAUGGAGAGGAAUUGUCAGCAGAGGACCUGCUUGAACUUGAACAACAAAUGAUUGAGGAGGAGGAGGCGGCACCAAAGCCAAAAGCCAGGUCAUUAACUGUGAAAGGCUUGUCAGAGGGUUUUACUCAUCUGGAGAGAGCCUUGGCUUCUUUUGAGGCAGAAGACCCUAACGUUGCCAGGUUUGACAAAAUAAAACGUGGAAUGUUGGACUUAGUAACUUUCUACAAGGAGACCCUGAAGGAGAAGCAGACGAAGAGAAGUGUGCAGUCCAGGCUUGACACUUUCUUUCACAAGUCUCCAGUACCACCACCUCCCACUCCUAGUCCUGGUAAGGAAUUCUGAACUGUUUUACUAAUUUAUGUGUUUACACAGUGUACAUAUAAAAUGUGUUAAUUUUUUAAUGUAACAACUAAAUGUUAGAGUAAAUUGUAACUUCAUUAAUUUUCAUCAUUUGUAAUUUUAUUGCAGAAGUGGUGACAGUUCCAGAUCCCCCUGUACUACCUGUGACAGUUCCAGAUCUCCCUGUACUACCUGUGACAGUUCCAGAUCUCCCUGUACUACCUGUGACAGUUCCAGAUCCCCCUGUACCUGGACCCUCUGUAGCAGCCCGUCCACCUGUACUACUACAAUCAGACACCUUUGAUAGUGACAGCGACCCAGAUGACCCUGAGCCUUUCCAUGGUUUUGAUGCCUCGCCCUAUUCAUCAGAUCUAGAUGUUCCCUCAUCAGAGCCCAAAUCAGUUGAUACGAGUAGUAUCACCUCUCCAACUCCUUCAG